rnacentral:lncRNA from 1 species
ACGUUUUCAAGAGAUAAGUAAGGAGCAAGGAGGUUGUUCACUAGAAAAAGCAAACUGACUAUCAUCACAGACUGUGUUCUUUUUUACAAAGAACAAACAGGGAACAAAGAGAGUUGGUUUUUUCUUUCAGAAAAAGCAAGGAAAAGACCUCCAUGAAAGCUAAUUGUUGAUGGUUCUUCUCUGCCAAAAUACUAACUUCCCUUUUUGUGGCAUUUAAAAAGAAAGAUCUUUUAAAGAUCUGCUGCCCAUUAUUAAAAAUUAAGAACCUCACUCCAGCAUUUCCUAUAAAUAUGAGAGGAGGUGAACAGAUCAAAACACAGCCAAAAAAAUCAAUCAAGACAAAAACUCUCAAAGUCACAACUGACAAACUCAAAAAGAUCAACUGAUCUCAAAAGCUUUUAGACCCUAAAGCAACCAAAGCUCUUUGAUCCACAAGAAACAAAUUAGCUAGAAUUCAAAUCUCUGGUUUUAGCUCAGUUUAGGGAAACAGUUUUACAAAGCGAGAUUUUUCUCGUUAUAAAUUUGGUUCAACACAAAGCCAAGUCAAGUAGAGUCCAGGUUUUUACAAAUAUGAAAACCUCAACAAAUUUACAAAAAGCCUCGGUCAAGCAGAACAAGCACCAUAGCGCUGCUCCAGCUCAGUGACCAUCAAUCCAGCCACUUCUGUCCUUAUUCAGACUAAAGAGGCAUCAAUUCUGCCUGUUCAACAAGCCUUUCAUGGCUCGAAAUAAAUUAAAACUCUGCCAAACUCAAACGUUGGUAUCAAUUUCCAGCUGAAACUCAUCAGUUGAAGGUGAUGACAAUCCAAUUCAGCGUAGACACAUCCAAUCCAGCCCAGUUCAGAAGUAGAUACCCAGGCAGAAAUUGAAGUCCAACAUUCUGUUGUCUUUUUCGGAGUUGACAUUUCGCUUUUUGAGUCCUGUAAUAGGCAGUUUUACCUAAACAGUUUCUCUUCUUUUUUAAAAAAAAAAUAUAUUCUGGCCAAAACUACCAAUUUUGUACUAUGAAAUUUUU